UGGCGACGAUGCGUAGGGGUUCUGAGAGGAAGGUCCCCCACACUGGUACUGAGACACGGACCAGACUCCUACGGGAGGCAGCAGUGAGGGAUAUUGGUCAAUGGGAGAGAUCCUGAACCAGCCAAGCCGCGUGAGGGAAGACGGCCCUAUGGGUUGUAAACCUCUUUUGUCGGAGAACAAAACCCGGGACGAGUCCCGGACUGCGUGUAUCCGAAGAAAAAGCAUCGGCUAACUCCGUGCCAGCAGCCGCGGUAAUACGGAGGAUGCGAGCGUUAUCCGGAUUUAUUGGGUUUAAAGGGUGCGUAGGCGGUCUGUUAAGUCAGCGGUAAAAUUGCGGGGCUCAACCCCGUCGAGCCGUUGAAACUGGCAGACUUGAGUUGGCGAGAAGUACGCGGAAUGCGCGGUGUAGCGGUGAAAUGCAUAGAUAUCGCGCAGAACUCCGAUUGCGAAGGCAGCGUACCGGCGCCAGACUGACGCUGAGGCACGAAAGCGUGGGGAUCGAACAGGAUUAGAUACCCUGGUAGUCCACGCAGUAAACGAUGAAUGCUGGUUGUCCGGGUCGAAUGAGACCUGG
rnacentral:rRNA from 1 species